rnacentral:rRNA from 1 species
UGACCGCUGGCGGCGUGCCUAAUACAUGCAAAUCGAGCGAACAGAUAAGGAGCUUGCUCCUUUGAAGUUAGCGGCGGACGGGUGAGUAACACGUGGGUAACCUACCUAUAAGACUGGGAUAACUUCGGGAAACCGGAGCUAAUACCGGAUAACAUUUAGAACCGCAUGGUUCUAAAGUGAAAGAUGGUUUUGCUAUCACUUAUAGAUGGACCCGCGCCGUAUUAGCUAGUUGGUAAGGUAACGGCUUACCAAGGCGACGAUACGUAGCCGACCUGAGAGGGUGAUCGGCCACACUGGAACUGAGACACGGUCCAGACUCCUACGGGAGGCAGCAGUAGGGAAUCUUCCGCAAUGGGCGAAAGCCUGACGGAGCAACGCCGCGUGAGUGAUGAAGGGUUUCGGCUCGUAAAACUCUGUUAUUAGGGAAGAACAAAUGUGUAAGUAACUGUGCACAUCUUGACGGUACCUAAUCAGAAAGCCACGGCUAACUACGUG